GUGAGGAAUAUUGGUCAAUGGGCGAGAGCCUGAACCAGCCAAGUCGCGUGAAGGAUGAAGGUUUUAUGAAUUGUAAACUUCUUUUGCAGGGGAAUAAAGUACGGUACGUGUACCGUUUUGUAUGUACUCUGCGAAUAAGGAUCGGCUAACUCCGUGCCAUCAGCCGCGGUAAUACGGAGGAUCCAAGCGUUAUCCGGAUUUAUUGGGUUUAAAGGGUGCGCAGGCGGGUUGAUAAGUCAGCGGUGAAAGUUUGCAGCUUAACUGUAAAAUUGCCGUUGCAACUGUCGAUCUUGAGUGCAAAUGAGGUAAGCGGAAUGUGUUGUGUAGCGGUGAAAUGCUUAGAUAUAACGCAGAACACCGAUUGCGAAGGCAGCUUACUGGGAUGCAACUGACGCUCAUGCACGAAAGCGUGGGGAUCAAACAGGAUUAGAAACCCCUGUAGUCC
rnacentral:rRNA from 1 species